GGAGCGGUGGCCGAGCGGUCGAAGGCAACGGUUUGCUAAACCGUCGUACCCCUAAAGGGUACCGGGGGUUCGAAUCCCCCCUGCUCCG
rnacentral:tRNA from 1 species